rnacentral:rRNA from 1 species
GCUUGUCUCAAAGAUUAAGCCAUGCAUGUCUAAGUAUACGCAAAUUAUACUGUGAAACUGCGAAUGGCUCAUUAAAUCAGUUAUAGUUUAUUUGAUGUUUCUUGCUACAUGGAUAACUGUGGUAAUUCUAGAGCUAAUACAUGCGUAAAAAGCCCCGACUUCUGGAAGGGGUGUAUUUAUUAGAUAAAAACCAUCCUCCUCGGAGUUUGGUGAUUCAUAAUAACUUCUCGAAUCGCACGGCCUUGUGCUGGCGAUGCUUCAUUCAAAUAUCUGCCCUAUCAACUGUCGAUGGUAGGAUAGAGGCCUACCAUGGUUGCAACGGGUAACGGGGAAUAAGGGUUCGAUUCCGGAGAGGGAGCCUGAGAAACGGCUACCACAUCCAAGGAAGGCAGCAGG